rnacentral:rRNA from 1 species
CCUAGUACGGCGAGUGACCGGGAAGAAGCUCAAAUUUGAAAUCUGGCGUGCUCAGUGCGUCCGAAGUUGUAAUCUAUAGAGUCGUUUUCCGUGCCGGACUGUGUCCAAGUCCCUUGGAACAGGGUAUCAAAGAGGGUGAUAAUCCCGUACUUGACACAAUGACCGGUGCUCUGUGAUACGUCUUCUACGAGUCGAGUUGUUUGGGAAUGCAGCUCAAAAUGGGUGGUGAGUUCCAUCUAAAGCUAAAUAUUGGCGAGAGACCGAUAGCGAACAAGUACCGUGAGGGAAAGAUGAAAAGCACUUUGGAAAGAGAGUUAAACAGUACGUGAAAUUGUUAAAAGGGAAACGAUUGAAGUCAGUCGUGACUGAGAGGCUCAGCCGGUUCUGCCGGUGUAUUCCCCUCAGUCGGGUCAACAUCAGUUUUGUUCGGUGGAUAAGGGCGGUUGGAAGGUGGCACCCUCGGGUGUGUUAUAGCCAACUGUCGCAUACAUCGGAUGAGACUGAGGAAUGCAGCUCGCCUUUAUGGCCGGGGUUCGCCCACGUUCGAGCUUAGGAUGUUGACAUAAUGGCUUUAAACGACCCGUCUU